CUACGCUCUAGUGAAUCAUCGAAUCUUUGAACGCACAUUGCACCUCGUGGCUUCUGUCACAAGGUAUACUUGUUUGAGUAUCUUAUACGUUCUCACCUCCUCUUCAGGAAAGGUGGAUUUGAGGCAUCGAUCACCAAGCUCAUUUGGGCAAGAAACCGGUCGUUCCUUGAAAUUCUCGGCUAUUAUGGAAGGACUCCGUAGGAAUCUGAAGCAGACCAUUGGGAUAAUAUCCCUGACAAUCGUCUAUCAAAUUCCGCAGCGUUGACCUGACCAGAGCCUUUCUCGCUAUUGACGGCUACAUGUUUAUGUUGCCGUUCAGGUAGCACCUUUAUUUUUGAAAAGAUCUCAAAUCAAGUAAGGAUACCCGCUGAACUUAAGCAUAUCAAUAAGCGGAGG
rnacentral:rRNA from 1 species